ACCAUCACCUUCGUAGGCAGGGUCACUACCAAGGCCUGUCGACUUCCUUAGAAAGACAUGACGCUUCAUAAUUGCGCAUGUGUGGUCUGACUUUCUGGAAAUAGAUACCAGUUAUUAAUAUAAAAAUAUUUUGUUACAGCAACAUUGCUCCUAUCUGACUUUGUCUAUUCAACUUUGGGAACAAAUAAAAUCAUUUUUAUCAAAUAUUUUGAUUUAUGUCAUACUACCAUAUGUAAAUUAUUAUUAUUUUAUAUAAAUUAUUACCUAUUUCAGUUUGUCUUUGUCUAUGUUCAUAAAAUCUAUGGAGGUCAGAGGCACAUAUACCCUCCAAAAAGCCUUGCACUUGGGUCUGGCCGGUUAGAACAUAGACAAAAGUCUGCAAUGUCAAUGCUGUCAAAGUCAUUGACGCAAAACUAUUUUCAUUUUCAAAACUAUCAGUUUUCAUAUAAAAUGAUUAAAUAACGAUUUAUGUUGUUGAAAUAGAUUUAUUGAUUAAGUUUUAAAAUUAAAAAUCCACCGCACAGUAUCUCCGCUCAGACUCGGUUAAAGUUUAAUCCAUUGUACUAAACUAAGAAACAACAAUUAUUUCAAGAGGGUGAACGUGAGCAAAAAAUCCUUGGGCGUCAUAUCAUUUCCUUGGAAAGGCUCAAAAUCAAAAGGCACGGAUCCGCCACAUAAUUGUGACUAGUUGUAGUUUCCCGGUGACCAUCAACAAGACCGCUGCACUGAGCUGUGGAGCAGAAAGUGUCCGACAAUCGGAUAGAUGUAAUAACAACUUUGUCUGUCAUAUAUUCAUGUAAUUUUUAGUUUUUUGGGCUGAUAUAUGUGAUAUGAUUACAAGUUACACUAAUUGCAAUUGUGGAGUAAAAUCAGAUGUGCCAAAGAUCAUGUUUUAGAUAUAUAAAAAGCUAUAUUAAAUGCAAUAAAUAGUAUAUGUAUAUAUAUAAAAUUGUUUUUAUCAUGAAGAUUUUAAUGACUUCUAUUUAUUGUUAUGAAGGUGAUCUGGGAAUUAAAACAUGCGCUAAAAAUAGACGACCUAAACAUAAAUAACGCCUUAAAAAAAUCAAAAGAUAAUCACACGCACAGGAUAGGUUAACUAUUUGGUACCCACAUCAAUAAUGAACCGAAAUUACCGACCUGUGGUCUCAUUGAAUAAAAUUCAUAUAGGUAUGUAGAUAUUAUAUGGAAGUGUCACAGUUAGUUCAACAAGCCCCGUCCGAUACAUAAAUUU